AGUGGAAUUGCUGGGUCAUAUGUUAGAUCUAUUUCUGGUAUUUUGAGGAGCCUCCAUACUGUUUUCCAUAAUGGCUCUACUAAUUUACAUUCCCAUCAGCAGU
rnacentral:pre_miRNA from 1 species